AUUGAACGCUGGCGGCAGGCCUAACACAUGCAAGUCGAACGGUAACAGGAAGAAGCUUGCUUCUUUGCUGACGAGUGGCGGACGGGUGAGUAAUGUCUGGGAAACUGCCUGAUGGAGGGGGAUAACUACUGGAAACGGUAGCUAAUACCGCAUAACGUCUCAAGACCAAAGAGGGGGACCUUCGGGCCGCUUGCCAUCGGAUGUGCCCAGAUGGGAUUAGCUAGUAGGUAGGGUAACGGCUCACCUAGGCGACGAUCCGUAGCUGGUCUGAGAGGAUGACCAGCCACACUGGAACUGAGACACGGUCCAGACUCCUACGGGAGGCAGCAGUGGGGAAUAUUGCACAAUGGGCGAAAGCCUGAUGCAGCCAUGCCGCGUGUAUGAAGAAGGCCUUCGGGUUGUAAAGUACUUUCAGCGGGGAGGAAGGGAGUAAAGUUAAUAUCCUUGCUCAUUGACGUUACCUGAAGAAGAAGCCACGGCUAACUACGUG
rnacentral:rRNA from 1 species